rnacentral:rRNA from 1 species
CGAACGGUAACAGGAAGCAGCUUGCUGCUUCGCUGACGAGCGGCGGACGGGUGAGUAAUGUCUGGGAAACUGCCUGAUGGAGGGGGAUAACUACUGGAAACGGUAGCUAAUACCGCAUAACGUCGCAAGACCAAAGAGGGGGACCUUCGGGCCUCUUGCCAUCGGAUGUGCCCAGAUGGGAUUAGCUAGUAGUGGGGUAACGGCUCACCUAGGCGACGAUCCCUAGCUGGUCUGAGAGGAUGACCAGCCACACUGGAACUGAGACACGGUCCAGACUCCUACGGGAGGCAGCAGUGGGGAAUAUUGCACAAUGGGCGCAAGCCUGAUGCAGCCAUGCCGCGUGUAUGAAGAAGGCCUUCGGGUUGUAAAGUACUUUCAGCGGGGAGGAAGGCGACAGGGUUAAUAACCCUGUCGAUUGACGUUACCCGCAGAAGAAGCACCGGCUAACUCCGUGCCAGCAGCCGCGGUAAUACGGAGGGUGCAAGCGUUAAUCGGAAUUACUGGGCGUAGAGCGCACGCAGGCGGUCUGUCAAGUCGGAUGUGAAAUCCCCGGGCUCAACCUGGGAACUGCAUUCGAAACUGGCAGGCUAGAGUCUUGUAGAGGGGGGUAGAAUUCCAGGUGUAGCGGUGAAAUGCGUAGAGAUCUGGAGGAAUACCGGUGGCGAAGGCGGCCCCCUGGACAAAGACUGACGCUCAGGUGCGAAAGCGUGGG